rnacentral:rRNA from 1 species
GACAGAGGGGGCAAGCGUUGCUCGGAAUUACUGGGCGUAAAGGGCGCGUAGGCGGGAUGGCAAGUCGGUCGUGAAACCCCUCGGCUCAACCGAGGAACGUCGAUCGAUACUGCUGUUCUUGAGGAUUGCAGAGGAGACUGGAAUUCCCGGUGUAGCGGUGAAAUGUGUAGAGAUCGGGAGGAACACCGGUGGCGAAGGCGGGUCUCUGGGCAAUUCCUGACGCUGAGGCGCGAAAGCGUGGGGAGCAAACAGG